rnacentral:rRNA from 1 species
AGAGUUUGAUCCUGGCUCAGGAUGAACGCUGGCGGCGUGCCUAACACAUGCAAGUCGAGCGAUUCUCUUCGGAGAAGAGCGGCGGACGGGUGAGUAACGCGUGGGUAACCUGCCUCAUACACAUGGAUAACAUACCGAAAGGUAUGCUAAUACAAGAUGAUAUAAGAGAUUCGCAUGGGUUUCUUAUCAAAGCUCCGGCGGUAUGAGAUGGACCCGUGUCUGAUUAGCUAGUUGGUAAGGUAACGGCUUACCAAGGCGACGAUCAGUAGCCGACCUGAGAGGGUGAUCGGCCACAUUGGAACUGAGACACGGUCCAAACUCCUACGGGAGGCAGCAGUGGGGAAUAUUGCACAAUGGGCGAAAGCCUGAUGCAGCAACGCCGCGUGAGCGAUGAAGGCCUUCGGGUCGUAAAGCUCUGUCCUCAAGGAAGAUAAUGACGGUACUUGAGGAGGAAGCCCCGGCUAACUACGUGCCAGCAGCCGCGGUAAUACGUAGGGGGCUAGCGUUAUCCGGAUUUACUGGGCGUAAAGGGUGCGUAGGUGGUUUCUUAAGUCAGGAGUGAAAGGCUACGGCUUAACCGUAGUAAGCUCUUGAAACUGGGAAACUUGAGUGCAGGAGAGGAAAGUGGAAUUCCUAGUGUAGCGGUGAAAUGCGUAGAUAUUAGGAGGAACACCAGUAGCGAAGGCGGCUUUCUGGACUGUAACUGACACUGAGGCACGAAAGCGUGGGGAGCAAACAGGAUUAGAUACCCUGGUAGUCCACGCCGUAAACGAUGAGUACUAGGUGUCGGGGGUUACCCCCCUCGGUGCCGCAGCUAACGCAUUAAGUACUCCGCCUGGGGAGU